rnacentral:lncRNA from 1 species
AAUGUCAUAAAUAUCAUAAAUGUAUUUAUUACAUAGCGGAAGUCUUACAAAAUAAAUGAUAAAUAUAAAACGAACUAAAUCUUAUUUUCUUGGCGCCACAAAGCUGAUUGGGAGACGCCACCUAGAUAAAGUCGUACUCCUCGUUGGGUGGCUCCUCUUGAACCACCUAUUCUUCUCCUGUGGGGGGUGUGUGAGAUAGCAAGGGUGAGCUCACAUACGUUCAUAGCUCAACAAGUUGUGGGAAAUAAUAUGCAUGAACUCACCAAAGGUGGGAGUUCAUGUGAAGUGUAAGGCUGAUCAACAAAAUAAAGGUUGAAGUUGAGCAUUGCUUUUAUAAGUUGGUCAAAAUUUUAUUAGCAGUUACUAAGUGUGAGUAAAUACCAAACCAUAGUAAUAAUAAAUAAAAGUAAUAAUAAAAUAAUCCCAAUGCGAUGCAAAUGACAAAUUGAAUUUAAUUCCAUAAGUUAAUCAUGUGAGGGUCCGAGCUGCUCAUGACAUUGAGCACGGCUAGUAUACCAGUUUUACACUCUAUAGGGUCGGUCGGCGCGGCGAUUUAGUCAGGGUUGCUUCUUAGCGAAGGCAAGGCCUCGGGCGAGCCGGAGACGUGUCCGCCGUUGGAGGGGGGCCUCGGGCGAGACGGAAAUCCCUCGGGGUCGGCUGCCCUUGUCCGAGGCUAGGCUCGGGCGAGGCGUGAUCGAGUCGCUCGUAUGGACUGAUCCCUGACUUAAUCGCACCCAUCAGGCCUCUGCAGCUUUAUGCUGAUGGGGGUUACCAGCUGAGAAUUAGGCGUCUUGAGGGUACCCCUAAUUAUGGUCCCCGACAAUUAUGGACAAAUGUUAAAGGUCAUAAAUGUACUUUUACCCGGGCUGCGUCCCGUGCCUAUAAAUAGGUGAACAGUAUUCUUGUACUGUUCACGCUGUUUUUUUGUAUUCACUCCGCAUCAGCAUCUUCGAGUAAGCCGAAGGUACCAAUGUAAUAUAUAACUCUGUUAAUAUUCAUGUGUAUAUUAUGAAAUAUAAAUGUGAAUGAAUUAAUGAACUAUAUUCUUCGUCUUUAUGUAUUCUUAUUUGCCCAUGAAAUGAUGAAGGCAUGUCCUUCACGACCUUCGUCCGAUGAUCAUUAAAUCCGAAAAGAGGCAAUGCUUCUGAGGACGAAGGUCCUUAAUAAUUUUGUGUUGCCUUGUUCUUGAUUCACAACAUUUGAGAACAAGUGACCAAUAUUGGCGCCCACCUCCGGUGAACUCACUUCCGUGACAAUGGCUUCGGAAGGAACCCAAGCCGUGGCACCUUCGGCUACGAAGUUGGUGCUCCCAACCAUAGGCCAUUCAAGUUUGAACCAGCUAAUAAGAAGCAGAAGAAGGAGGCACAAAGAAGGGUACAACAUGUUGGAGUGCAGGGACCCUUCAUCAAGUCUAAGUGGUCUCAUGUACCAAUCACCUUCUCCCAGGAAGACCUUCAGCUCAAGGACUACCCUCAUAAUGAUGCAAUGGUCAUAUCUUGUGUCAUCAAGGGGUUCCUGGUGCACAACAUCCUUUUAGACACAGGAAGUGCAACAUAUAUCAUCUUUGCAAAAGCUUUUAGGCAGAUGCAGGAGCAGGAUGAUAAAAUAUAUGAUGCAACACACCCCUUGUGUGGCUUUGGAGGAUGGCAGAUAGUGGCACUCGAGAGGAUAACAAUGCCAAUCACCUUCGGUUAUGUUCAUAACACAAGGACAAAGCAAGUUGUUUUUGACAUUAUUGAUAUGGAAUAUCCCUACAAUGCAAUCAUUGGUCAAGGGACAUUAAAUUCCUUUGAAGCAAUACUUCAUCCAGCAUAUCUAUGCAUGAAGAUACCAUCUGUUGGGGGCCUUCCUCUUCCGAAGGUCCUAAAAAACGUGACUAACCAUAUGUUUUCAGUAUGAUAUAGAUUAUUACAGGAGGUUUCGGCUCCCGGAUAAAUGACCUUCUCUAAUGGCAAAAGUACACGUGGUGUAAAGGAGCAACCCGAAGGUGAUAGGAGUAAGCGUCGAAGCUAUUGCCCGAAAGCUUUGGGUUGAUAUGGUGACGAAGACCAAGGACGACACCGACUCAAAGGGGGAAAAGACCACUUAGUCCGUGAUAAUUUGUAUUAUAAUCACGAGUAAAUGUCAAGGGCAUGAAUGUAAUUUUGUCUGGGUUGUGCCUCGUGCCUAUAAAUAGAUGAACAGUAGCACCAUACUGUUCACGCUGGAUUGUAAUCUUUCUCUCACAUCAUCCUUGCUCUCCCACCUUCUGGCAAGCCGAAGGUACAAUUGUAAUACAAACAUUUGACAAUGUCUAUUUAUGCUCGAUAAAGAUAAUAAUAAUGAUAGAACAUUGAUAUGUGACAAUUAUUAUCUUUGUCCCUUUGCAUCCUUGUCGGCGUUUCGACCCCGGGGGGUCCCUGGACCGACGAGUAAAUUGUCGCCGCGUGUCCCAGCCCAGAUGGGUCGGCGCGAGACGGAGCACGGAGGGGGGAAACAAGGAGACAUGCGUAAAAGGGGAAACCCGCGACCUUCGUGUUUGUCCUGCGCUCAGGUCGGGUGCGCUUGCAGUAGGGGGUUACAAGCGUCCGCGUGGGAGGGAGCGAGAGGCUUGCACGCGCCGUCCCGUCCUCUCCGCGCGGCCAAGCCCCCCGUACGAGUGCCCUGGGCCUUCCUUUUAUAGGCGUAAGGAGAGGGCCCAGGUGUACAAUAGGAGAUGUAGCAGUGUGCUAAUGUGUCUAGCAGAGAGGAGCUAGUGCCCUAAGUACAUGCCGUCGUGGCAGCCGGAGAGGUUUUGGCACCCUGUUCAUGUGAUGUCGUGGCCGUCGGAGGAGCGCUGGAGCCUUGCAGAAGGACAGCUGUCGGGGCUGUCGAGUCCUUGCUGACGUCUCCUUGCUUCCGUAAGGGGCUGAGAGCCGCCGUCGUCAUGGAGCACGCGGGGCGCCAUCAUUAUUUGUUUACCGGGGCGAGCCAGAUGGGACGCCGGUCUUGUUCCCCGUAGCCUGAGCUAGCUAGGGGUAGGGUAAUGAUGGCCCCCCAGUGACGUGGUCGGCCCGAGCCCUGGGUCGGGCGAGGCGGUGGCUCCUCCGAGGUCGAGGUCGAGUCUGUCUUUUGAGGUCGAGGUCGAGUCCGAGCCCCGGGUCGGGCGACGCGGAGACCAUCGUCUAAGGACAAGGCUGAGGCCGAGCCCUGGGGUCGAGCGAGGCGGAGUUUGUCGUCUUCCGGAACCGAGGCCGAGUCCGAGCCGUGGGUCGGACGAGGCGGAGUUCGUCGUCCGAGGCCGAGCCCUGGGGUCGGGCGAGGCGGAGCUUCCUAUGGCGCCCGGAGCCGGACUUGACUGCUGUCAGCCUCACUCUGUCGAGCGGCACAGCAGUCAGAGCGACGCAGGCGGCGCUGUCCUCUUGUCAGGCCGGUCAGUGGAGCGGCGAAGUGACUGCGGUCACUUCGGCUCUAUCGACUGAGGGGCGCGCGCUGUGGCAGAACCUCCCAAGUUAUUAGGCCCACAUGCACCUGUCCUUAUCUCAAAGACCUCAGACGGCUAUGCAUGUGCACCAGAUAACUUAACAGGAUCCGUCCGAGUGUCACAAGGACCCCAGAUAAACCACUUACAACCAGGAUCGCAAGAUUAAGUAACACAAAUCACACACACCAACAUUUUGCAGUGGAAAUCUUAUUACCAAAUUUUACAAGUUACAUCAAGUUUUACAAUGUAAAUGAUCGGAGUGAUUACAAAAAGUGAUUCAAAGAAGUAACUUUGAAAUGUUAUAAAUUAUUUGUAGUUUUGAAAUAUAUGCUAGCUUAAGUGACCAUCCUCAAUAAGAAGUAUAGAAGAGUUACUUAGACUUAUAAGAAGGUCGAGCCCACCGGCACUUAACACCAUCAUCAACAACACAAAACUAUAACCUGAAAAACAACAGGGAAUAAAACCCUGAGUAUGGAAUUACUCAGCAAGACUUAACCGACUAAAGAAAAGACUCUCAAGGAUAUGCUGGAUUUAGGAAUCAAGGAGAGGCUCUU